ensembl:lncRNA TEKT4P2 tektin 4 pseudogene 2
GCCAUUUUCCUCCGGAAGUGCGGAUCCCAGCGGCGGUCGUGUAGCUGAGCAGGCCUGGGGCUUGGUUCUAUGUCCCUGUAGCUAUGUUUCCAGUGUCCUCUGGGUGUUUCCAAGAGCAACAAGAAACGAAUAAAUCUCUGGUACUACUGGUACAGCCAUGGUGGAGAACAGUUUGGAGGUUCCUCUAAACACUGAAAAUAGAGGUGCCACAUGAUCCAGCAAUCCCACUGUUGGAUAUAUACCCCAGAAAUAAGAAAUGAGUAUAUCGAAGAAAUUAUCUGCACUCCCAUGUUGGUUGCACCACUGUUGACAAUAGCUAAGAUUUGGAAGCAACCUAAGUGUCCAUCAACAGAUUAAUGUAUUAAAGAAAAUGUGGUAGAUACA